ensembl:lncRNA
CAAAAUCAGGAUCGCUUUGGUUCUCUCUCCCCCUCGGUUCCUUUGUCUGCAUUCCCACCCGUCCACGCGUCUGCGGGCUUCUACCGCUUCUUCUUCUGCUUGAGGGACUUCCUCCGCUUCAGGAUCAUCUCGUAGAGCUUGUCCAUGCCCUCCGUCAGCCCCUCGCCGAUGAUGGCGCAGGCGGGCUGGAUGUGGUAGGUGGUGGAGGGGGUGAGCUCGUGCAGGGCCAGCUGCUUCUCGAUCUCGGCCACCGGCAGGGACUUGGGCAGGUCCUGCUUGUUGGCGAUGACCAGCAGCGGCGUGCCCUGGUUCUCGGCGAACUUGGUCACCUUGUGCAGCUCCGUCUUGGCCUCCUCCAGCCGGUCCACGUCCACCGAGUCCACCACGUAGAUGAUGCCGUCGGUGCAGCGGCUGUAGGACUUCCAGAGCGGGCGCAGCUUCUCCUGGCCGCCCACGUCCCAGAAGUGGCAGCUGAUGCCCUUGGCCGUGCCGUUGCUCAGCCGGAUCUUCUCGGUGUUGAAGCCGAUGGUGGGCACGGUGUUGACGAACUCGUUGAACUUCAGCCGGUACAGCACCGUCGUCUUCCCCGCCGAGUCCAGCCCCAGCAUGACGAUGUGCAGGGACUGGAAGGCGGAGAUGUUGGACGAGAUGUUCCCCAUGGCCGCCCGCGGGGCGCCCCUCGCCGCCCGCCCCCCUCCUCCCCUCACAACCCGGCGCCCAUGGCCGCGGCCCGGCCCGGCUCGGCUCGGCCCGGCCCGGCUCGGUUCGGCCCUGCUGGGCUCUCCUGGGCUCGGCAGGGCUCGGCUCGGCCGCUGGCGGCUCCACGCCGAGCCGGGGCUCGGGGACUGCCGGCCGCCGCCUGCCGCCCCGCCCGGGAGGAGGGGCCGCGCCGCCGCUUCCCUCACGGCCUCCUGCCCUCCUUCCCUGCCUCUUUUCUCUCCUUCCCUGCCUCUCCGCUGUUCCUCCCAGCCUUGUGGCCGAGCCGAAUUGCUCGGGAGGUGACACCGGGCGCUGUUUUCUUGGUGGAAAUCCCAAGCAAGGCUCCUUGGCACCGUGUCACCUCCUGGCACCGUGUCACCUCCACGCGCGGCGUGUGGCGUCACGCAGGUGCAGGGCUGGCUGGAGGGUCAAACACCCACCCAGCGCACCAUUUGCCCUCCAUCGGGCCAAGCAGAGCCCUUCAAGAACCAGCUUAAAGCCAGUUGUGCAGCCUGAUCUCCAGGAAAUGCUAAAACAGCCACAAAUGAGGGAAAAAAAAAAAUAAUUCAAAGGAGUUCACAUGAAAACAGCCCAGUGCUCUGGCUCUGUAAGCAAUAAGGAGUGGAGGCCCUUGGAGGAACACAAGAACAGGGUAGGUGUGUUUUAUAAUCUUUGAUGUAUUUUUCUGUUGUUUUGUUUUGUUUUUCUCCAUGAAUUCUUACCACCCAUCUCUGAAGCUUUACAAGCGUAGCCUUUUCUGUAUCCUGUGGCAGAAUACCAGCACGUACCUAUGUGCUGGACAAAAAGGGACCUCCUUAGCCUGAACCUGCCCAGAAAUUGCCUCUGCAAACUCACGCCAAGCGCAGGCUUGCAGGUUAAAGCACGUGCAGUUGAGCAGGAGGACUUUUUGACAGGUUAUGCUGGGAUUUGCACCGAAAACAGCUCUCUUUUUGCACUAUGCUUGCAUCAAAGCCCCGACUGUGCCUGUCACUCCCCCCCCAACCCUGCAAUUCUGCAGGAGGAACAAAACCUUUGCCUGACUUGAGCAGGCACAGACAAAAGAGGAGCGCUCUGUGCCUUUGUUCCUGCUAUUUGCUGAGAUGACAGACGUCAUUUUUGCACGGCGAGUGCUGGGUCCUACUGCCGCGAGUGAGUGCAGCGGGAGGAGAAGUGAGGUUGGCGUGCUUGCGGGGCUCUGCCAGGGACUGGUCUGGUGCUGGAUGGAGCAAAGCAGUGCUGGUAUUUUGUGGUCACACACACACAAAAAAAGGGUUCAUUUGGCUGUCCUGACUGAUUGUUUGGAUGCCUGAGCUGGAGGGAAUAAAAUCUGGUGUGCAGAGGGUGAGCAAAGGAGGAUGUCUUCCUUUAAGCACAGAUGCAUUGUAGGGGUGGAGGAUUUAGCAGCCUUGGGUUUUAUCUGCUGCAUCAGGGGCUCUGUGCACAUAAAUUGCCCGCUGCCCUCAGAAGGGUGACAGGGACAUUUCUGGCUGGGGUAAUCAUUUCCCCAUCUCACAGAAGAGGAGAAAAGGCCUAGGGAAGCCUGAGCCCAGCUGAUUGCAAUUCCUGUGCAGCCAGGUAUGGUGGCAGCCUGGAAACUCAAGCCUAAACACACCCACACAGGGGAAAGGAUGCUGAAUUUGGAAUGGUUAGGCACACACAGACAGGAUGAACAAGGGUGGUUCAGGUUUGUCUGCAGACACAACCUACGUGGCCAACACAUCCUCACUCCUGUCCCUAUAGCACCGGGUCUCAGCCAUUCCCUGCUCUGGUGUCACUCCGGCCCAAAGCUGCAGAUUUUGCCCCACGGUUUUUCUGCAACCCUCUCGCAGAAAGCAAAGUGGAUUAGCCUUGCUGCCGGCGAUAAGCGUGAGGCUUAGAAAAACUAUCAAUUUUCCAGCACCCUUCCCAGGGCAGUAAAUCUGGGAGCCUACCUAGCUGCACGCGUGGCAGAGAGAGUGAAAGCGCAGCGCUGGUGGGGAUUUAGGGCUCAUGAAUCACCCCGUGCUCUCUGGUGGCAUGCCAGCAUCUCAGAUUGCCUCCUUGUGUAAUUUGCACCACCAAUUUCUGCUCAACCCCCAAAAAAUAUCAGAGUACCUUAUUUGCUCCUGUCGUCCCC